rnacentral:lncRNA from 1 species
GUACAAGCCUACAUUUUCUUCCAACACUGAAAUUUUCCAUUCAUCUUUGGUGAGAUACAAGGGAGGGAUACAUUUUUGGGAUACAGACUCUGCAGUACACAAAGAUGACUCCGAUAACAUUGCCAGCGAUAACCAAAUAUUAUCCUAGACGCGUAGCCCUAACAAAGGGAGACAAUGACAAAAACCAAAACACAUAUAAGCAGAGGUUGGAAAACUAGACUAAAGCCGAUAAACACAAGUCGACCAAAAAUGGUAGCUAAGCAGAAUUUCAGAGCAAACAACCACUUCGAGAACCUUCGAUAUAAACUCACCAAAGCAUCAAUGAUGACAGGCUCCUCCUAUAGUGAUUAGUGAAUCACUACUUGAAACAUGGAUUUUUCAAAUAAAAGAUCAGUAGGAAAACAAUAGCUAAACUGGAAACAAUGAGUGUUUAGCGACUGAUUUAAGUGGUCAUAAUAAUGUUCGUCGCUAAAUAAAAAAGUCGUAAAACAGUCGCUAAAUUGCGACUGUAGCGACUGGUUGCACCACUCGUAAAUCAGUCGUUAAGUAGUCGCAACAUUUUGCUACUGGAUUGCGACUGAUUUAGCGACUAAUAUAUUAGUCACUAUUUAGUCGCUAAAUUUUGCUACUAUUUUACAACUACUUAGCAACUAUUGCCCAUUUAACCCACUAACUAGAUAUUAAGUAGUAAAGUAUUUCAAUAUUUAAAUUCAUUAUGUUUUAGUUAAUUAUUCAAAAAUAAAAAUUAUAAAUAAUUUUUUUAUAAUUAAAAUAUGUUUAUAAUUUGGUAUUGUUUACAAAUUUGGUCAAAAUUCUUUUUAAAAAAUAAAAAUAUAGUUUACAUGGUUUACAAAUGUAAAAUAUAAACCUAACUAAAACCAAUUGUAUCCACCUUUGUGGCUUCAUUCUAAAACAAAUGAUUCCUUGUAUCAUGACUACGUAAAUUCAGUGUAAUCAAUGAAAUCAAAAAUUUGACGCAAAAAAAAUACUUUUAGUUGCAUGUUGGCUAAACAAGCGUUCCAGACUUUGAAUUAGAAAAACAAUCAUUCCUGGCUUUCAACAGACAGCCCAUUUCUUCUUUGACUUACUACCUCGCUGAAUGGGUUAGAUAGGAAAGAUUCUGCAUACACGUUCUACAACCUAACUGUAAACGUGUAUUUUUAAAGGAACCAUGUAAAAAAUUCCAAGUGGUGGUAUCUGUAAACAUGAUUUUAAAUGAACCCUAAGAUCUUUAACAUUUAGAAUAAUCACAUAAUAGAAUUAUAAGAAGGAUUAGCGAAGUACCUCAAUUCAUCAUUGCAAAAAAAAAAUUCAAACGAUUUUGAUCAUGGAAGAUGAUUUCUUGAUCUCAAGAUGGAGCUAUGACUUCUCUCCCCUUGCCUACAAUCUUUC